UCUUUUGCCCGCCUGGGCUCGGCCGGGGGUCUGCCAGUGCUGUAUCGCCGGUGCCCGGGUGCUGGGGCCGGUCCCAGGAGCCACACAGCUGCGGCUUUUUAGCGCGGGGGCGAACCGGGCGCCUUUUUUCCCCCUUUUCCCCCACCGCUCCUGAUGUACAGAGCGAGGACUUGCUGAAGAGGGUGCUCGGAGCUGUGAGAAAGGCCGGCGAGGGUCUCCCUUCUCCCUAAACGCGGGUGUGCUGAGCAGCGGGUGGCGGGAGGGUGCGAAGCAGCCCCCGCAGCAUGGCCCAGGAACAAAAAAGUGAAGAACGAAGUAGACAUGUGAGAGGCAAUAGAGCAGAAGACUAUAUUGAAUCACUGCUCACUGAUGCCUUUAAAGGGAAGGGGUUUCAAAAAAUACAUGAACUGAUUCAAGAGAAGGAAGUAGAGCCUCCCCAGAAAUACAGUGAAUCUCUCUUUAACCAGCUGGACAAAGCACUGA